UCUGNAACCCGACUCCGUGAAGCUGGAUUCGCUAGUAAUCGCGCAUCAGCCAUGGCGCGGUGAAUACGUUCCCGGGCCUUGUACACACCGCCCGUCACACCAUGAGAGUUGGAGAUACCCGAAGCCUGUGAGCUAACAAACGAGGCAGCAGUCGAAGGUAGAAUCAAUGAUUGGGGUGAAGUCGUAACAAGGUACC
rnacentral:rRNA from 1 species